AGCCCUGCGCCCCGUCUGCACGGAGGGCCUGGCCGCCCGGGCCUGGGAUCCGUGGCCCCGCGGGGCCCGUCACAGGUCAGAGCCACCGGCACAGGCGGGGCCUCACUCUCGUGCCCUCCGGCCCUGUGUGGAUGGAGUCCGGCUGUGUGCGGGGCGCACGUGGGAGUGAGCGUGAGCGUGAGCUUACGUGCCGGGUCAGGCGCUUCCGUCGAUCCUGCAGGGGGCGUGACGACGCCGCACACUCACGUGGCUCUUGCUCACCGGGCGCUGUGCCAGCAGAGGGACAGAAGAUGGACACGCGGAUGGACAGACGGGCAGACCUGCUCCAGUGUUCACGGAGGCAUCGCGCACGGAGCAGACGGACGAGCGUGUGCAGUGGAGAAGAGCUUCUGAACCGUCACCCCCCACGGACAUCGUCUCUGGUCCAGCCUGAGAACAGGCUCUGAAGAGCUCAUACUUACCAUCUCAGAAAAGAAAACGGAACUUACUUGUCCUAAACUCGUGGGUCUGGAAAAUCCUGGAGGUGGUGAGGCGAUGCCCACAUCGUCCCAGGGUCUCGAGUGGGGACUGGAGCCCUCCAGGGUCCCCGGGUCCCGGGUGGCAGUGCCUGAAUCUGAUGGGCUCCGAUGGGUGCCCUGCCCACGCCAGGAGCCAUCCUCGGUGGUGGAUGAGCCCCUGCGGUGCUCACACCUGACUCACACGGGCCUGAGUGGACAGGGGGGGCCAAGCCCGCCCUGAGCUGAGAGCAGGGCCAGAGAACGACCCCUGGACGGGGUCCCUGCGCUGGGCCAGUGGAGGGGCAGACGUCCACGUGGCCCCCCACCACGAGCCCAGCCCACAUCGGCUCCAGGUCGUCCUCCCGGGGCCUGGUUUCUCCUCUGCCCCUCCCAGGGACCUCCAGGACAUGACUCCGCCGGGGACAGUCCUGCCUCCCGCAUCCCUUGGGCCCUGUCCCGUGCUUUACAUUGGAAACGGAUGCCCCAGCAGAGUGACGGGACACGGUGGCCAGUGAGGACCUGAGCCAGGGUCUGUGGUGGGGAAUUCGUGUGUCGAGCCAGCUGGGCUGUGGUGCCCAGAUCCAGGGUCGAUGUUUCUGUGAGGGGGUUUCUGGAUGAGGCUGGCUGUGAUGUAUCAGUAAAGCGGGUUGCCCUCCCUGAUGUGGGUGGGCCUCAUCCAAUCAGGGGAUGGCCUGAGUGUCUCAGGGGUGGGCAGGAUGCAGAGAGGUGGGGAAAGCCCCCCACCAUGACCCUCUCUGGUCGGCUUCUCCAGGUUGUGGCACCCCUCUGUCACCCACCAAAACCCCAAGUUCUCCAUUUCUCCUGAGGCCUCUCCCCGCAGGGACGAGCUCCUCUGUGAAUGCGGGGUCCCGGGGAGGCUCCCGGAUGCCACGCGUCCUGGUGCCAGCCCCAGGGGCCCCACUCAGACGCACAGGGUGAAGGUCCCUGUGUCUCUGGGUCUGAGGACGGCUGUGACUCCGUGUCCGGCUGUGCGGGCACAGAGCGUCUCUGAGGCUUGCAGUAUUUUCACAAAAACUCCUCCCCAAAAUUUAUGAGCCUGAGAGCAACACAUUCAUUUCUGUGACACAGGAU